UACGUAGGUGGCAAGCGUUACUCGGAAUCACUAGGCGUAAAGCGCAGGUAGGCGGUUCGGUAAGUCUCUUGUGAAAGCUCCCGGCUUAACUGGGAGAGGCCAAGGGAAACUGUCGGGCUAGAGUGUGGCAGAGGAAGCUGGAAUUCCCGGUGUAGCGGUGAAAUGCGUAGAUAUCGGGAGGAAUACCUAUGGCGAAGGCGGUUCUCUGGGCCUUACCUGACACUGAGGAGCGAAAGCGUGGGGAGCGAACAGG
rnacentral:rRNA from 1 species